CGAACGCUGGCGGCGUGCCUAAUACAUGCAAGUAGAACGCUGAAGGAGGAGCUUGCUUCUCUGGAUGAGUUGCGAACGGGUGAGUAACGCGUAGGUAACCUGCCUGGUAGCGGGGGAUAACUAUUGGAAACGAUAGCUAAUACCGCAUAAUAGUAGAUGUUGCAUGACAUUUGCUUAAAAGGUGCAAUUGCAUCACUACCAGAUGGACCUGCGUUGUAUUAGCUAGUUGGUGGGGUAACGGCUCACCAAGGCGACGAUACAUAGCCGACCUGAGAGGGUGAUCGGCCACACUGGGACUGAGACACGGCCCAGACUCCUACGGGAGGCAGCAGUAGGGAAUCUUCGGCAAUGGACGGAAGUCUGACCGAGCAACGCCGCGUGAGUGAAGAAGGUUUUCGGAUCGUAAAGCUCUGUUGUAAGAGAAGAACGAGUGUGAGAGUGGAAAGUUCACACUGUGACGGUAUCUUACCAGAAAGGGACGGCUAACUACGU
rnacentral:rRNA from 1 species